AACUUUUGGCAACGGAUCUCUUGGUUCUCGCAUCGAAGAAGAACGCAGCGAAAUGCGAUAAGUAAUGUGAAUUGCAGAAUUCAGUGAAUCAUCGAAUCUUUGAACGCACCUUGCGCUCUUUGGUAUUCCGAAGAGCAUGCCUGUUUGAGUGUCAUGAAACUCUCAACUCCCAACUUUCUUAAUAGUCGGUUGGGAGCUUGGACUUGAGCGUUGCUGGUCUUUAUUGACCGGCUCGCUUGAAAUGAAUUAGCAGAUCCUUUUUGUAAUCGGUUCCACUCGACGUGAUAAGUAUUUCGCCGAGGACAUCUUAACGGAUGGCCGAGAUAAAGAAAGUCUUUAGAUCCGCUUCUAAUUCUUAGCUAGAGCUUGCUCUACUAAACCCCUUUUAUGAUCUGGCCUCAAAUCAGGUAGGACUACCCGCUGAACUUAAGCAUAUCAAUAAGCGGAGGCU
rnacentral:misc_RNA from 1 species